CCAAAUAAAAUGGCAGCCAAAGCACCAGACUAUCAACCAGUGAAGAGGAGGGGACACUCCACUGUAUGGGCAGGAGGCUAGUACACAAGGCAAAUAUUCUCGACCGUGGCACACUGAUAGACUCCAAUUUAGAGUUAAGUAUGUUGGAUCAGAGAAUGUUAUCAGGAGACGUGGUGAUGCUGGAGCUGCCGCUAGAUACUGCCUACCUACUUUGAGGACAGCUAGUAAGAAUAUGAGAGCUGACAAGCUGAAAACAGUUUUAGGUCUAAACAUGAAAGGAGUAUCACUUUAUGACGAGACAUAAAAGUCUGUAACUCGGGUCCCAGUGGAUAAGGUUACUUAUGUUACUCAUGAUCCAGAGGAUCAGUGCUACUUUGGAGUUAUCAUACAAACUAAGGAGUCUCACACUGGAUUUAGACUCUACCUCUUCAAAGCUGAGAGACCUAUAGUACCUUAUCAUGUCAUUAUGAUCAUAAAUACAGUGCAUGUACAGUUUCUGCAUGUAAAACUUGAUACCUUAUG